rnacentral:rRNA from 1 species
AUUGAACGCUGGCGGCAGGCCUAACACAUGCAAGUCGAACGAGUGGCGGACGGGUGAGUAAUGUCUGGGAAACUGCCUGAUGGAGGGGGAUAACUACUGGAAACGGUAGCUAAUACCGCAUACCAUCGGAUGUGCCCAGAUGGGAUUAGCUAGUAGGUGGGGUAAAGGCUCACCUAGGCGACGAUCCCUCGCUGGUCUGAGAGGAUGACCAGCCAAACGGGAACUGAGACACGGUCCAGACUCCUACGGGGGGCAGCAGUGGGGAAUAUUGCACAAUGGGGGCAAGCCUGAUGCAGCCAUGCCGCGUGGAUGAAACAGGCCUUCGGGGUGUAAAAUACGUUCAGCGGGGAGGCGUUACCCGCAGAAGAAGCACCGGCUAACUCCGUGCCAGCAGCCGCGGUAAUUC